rnacentral:lncRNA from 1 species
AGGUAAAGCAUGUAUUUUAGGGAAAAUAUUAACCAAGUAAAAUACAAAUUUAUGUUAAGAGACGCCCAAGGAAGAUAUUUGUGACAUUGAUUCAUUAGAAAUAUCCUCACGGGAGUAACAGAUCUGGGCCACAUAACAAGAGGCUCAAUUAUACAAUUUUUCGGUAACCAACGCUACAAUUGAUAGAUAAUGUAAUGAAAUUAUUGCUCUAGUGAUAAACUAAGCAUUAUGCUAGGCACAACAACACUGAUCUUGCUUGCAAUAUGCCCCAGUCGAGGGCUUAAGGCUGAGGCCGCAAACGGUCUGGCAACGGUCUUUGCACUUUUCCACAUGGAAGCACAAUGGAGCAUUCGCCCCAUCUUCAACUGCAAAUUCGAUCCAUGAUCCAUGUAAGUUCCAAUAUGCACGUACAAAAUAUGAAUUGAUGUAUGUAUGUAGGGGGAAAUAGUGACGAUUGUUAACAAAACAUGUGCAACGACUUAAAUACGGACGUAAAUAACCAAUCAAGACUCGAGAGGACAACAAAAUUUGGCAACACAUGAACAACAUAAGAAGAGAUGUUAUUACUUGUACGGGCAUAGCAAGACGAUGAUGAUAG